CCGAGCCCGGCCGGGCCCUCGGAAGUCGGAAGAGGAGGGUGCCGAGUGGCUGCGAACAUCGAAAGGCAGCGUCAAGUUCUGCUUCCCGCGCUGACCGGCCCCGCUCGCCCACGCGUGCCCGGGGAGGCUGGGGGCCAGCCGAGGGGCGGGCGCGGGGCCGGGGGCGCGGGGAAGUGAGCGGAAGUCGGAGCAGAGACCGCGGAAGGAGGGUGGCUGGCGGCGGUCGCGGCAGUCUCCGAGGCCGGUUCAGAUUUGCUGUUUCCGCGUCAGCUUUCCUGGUUUAAGACUAGAGUGUGGCCGCGCUGUGCUUUUCUGUAGAAAGCAACGGUCGAGAGUGCCUCUCGGGUGUAGUGCUCCGAUCGGAAAGGCGGGAGCUUGGUGAUCAAGGGGUUCAGUGCGGCUCAGCCGAUUCCUCAACCUGCCCCUCAAGGGCUCCCCGUUCUGAAAAUGAGUUCUUCAUGUCUGCGGUCCCCGUGUUGGAAACCUGCAGAGGAUGUUGCGGGGGGAAGGGAGGGCUCAGUCUUCCAGGCCGAAGGUGCGUGUGAGCAGGAGUGAGCCUCCAUGUGCGAUGAGGGUCUUUGUUCCAGGAGCCCCCCCUUCCCAAACCUCCAGGACUUCCCUUGAAGUAUCAAGAUCCCAGGCGGGGAGCCAAAAUCAUAGAAGGGUUCAUGUUAAAUCCAGAGUCAAGGCAGUGUCCAGUAAGUUUACAACAUUCAAAUCCUAUUCCGUGGACUGGCCAAAAUUUAAAAAUAUGGACACGGGACUUGAAGGAUGUUUGAUGGAGCCAGAAGAGGAUAUGACCAGCAAGAAUAUUUGUUUAAACUGAAAUCGAGACCUUCCUUCUCUUCAAUGGAGACUCCCAGAUACACAAGCUAUUGGGGGCUAUCCUACCAGAGAGCACAGUAAAGGCAGGGACGCCUGCCACAGCAUGGCUUGCCAAGUGGCGCCAUGUCUGCACCCGGGAUCUGAACCGGCGAACCCCAGGCCGCUGAAGCGGAAUGUGCGCACUUAACCGCUGUGCCAUGAGACCAGCCCCUUGGGGGUGAAUCUUAAA
rnacentral:lncRNA from 1 species